UUUGAUGGGACAAAGCAGACACUGAGAGAAGGAGGAAGACUCUUCUGUUUCCAAACCAGUUGGGCUGGUCCCUGGGAGGAGCCAAGAAGCAUUCCCUCUAAUGGCUCCUUUCUCUUGCCCCAGGCCUGCCUGAUCCUCAGGCUCUGGGUCUUUCUAUGGAGAACAGCUGUGACCAGGGGACCAUGAGCAGCUCCCAGCCUUUCCAACCCACAGACCCUGUGUGAGCUCCCACGUGGAGCAGGAGGAAAACCCACAGACCCCAGAUCUUCAGUGCUCCAGAGAGAAGGAGAGUGUGAGACUCCCUGGUGGGUUGGGGAAGAGUCAGGCCUGGCCAGGUGCCCAUCUUGAGAAAAGCCAAGACGGGGGAUGAGCUGGAGUGGCAGGGCCUGAAGGAUGAGAAGGUGGCAGGGAUGCACUGGGGCUACGAGGAAACCAACAUUUUCCUGGGAAUUCUCAGUGAGUCCUGGAUUCAUGAGAAGCUCCGUAUGUGCCAUCGGAACCGCCAGGUGUACCGGAUUGUGGCUGAGCGGCUGCGAGAGCGGGGCUUCCUGCGGACCCUGGAGCAGUGUCGUUACCGGUUCAAAAACCUCCAGACCAACUACCGCAAAGCUAGGAGCACCCACGUGCUAGGAACCUGCCCCUUCUACAACAAGAUGGAUGCCCUGAUGUGUCCACAGGCCGCCACCCCCAUUCCAGAGGUGGCCGGGGGUCUGCUUGGGCAGAAGUACCGUGACGUGGAGCAGGAAGAACUGCAGAGGGCUUACUGGGAGCAGGAGGAGGCGAUGCUGGCCAAGGCCAUGUUAGAAGGUGGGUCAGAGAAGCAGGGGUGGAACCAAGGCCAUCCAGCAGCAUCUUUAGAAGAAGGGCAUUCAGGAGCCAUAAUGGAGGAUUCUGAGGGGGGAGAACUGGGCACUGAAGAAGCGUCUGGAAGCCCUGGUAUCCCAGCCCUGUUUUGGAGUCCUACUGGUGUACUGGAUUGUGGCUGAGCGGCUGCGGGAACGGGGCUUCCUGCGGACCCUGGAGCAGUGUCGCUACCGGUUCAAAAACCUCCAGGCUAACUACCGCAAAGCCAGGAGCACCCACACUCCAGGCACCGGCCCCUUCUACGAUGAGAUGGAUGCCCUGAUGAGUCCCUGGACCCUGGCCAACACCUUUGAUGCCUUUGAGGUGGCAGGAGGCGUUCUGCGGACUAGAGGGGACUCCAAAGAGAACCAGAAGGCAGUGACAGGGGAUGGUAAUGAGAUGACAGAGGAGCCCAGGAGCCUCGGCCCCCAGGCUUUGAGGGGGUACCCCAAUGAUCUUGAAACAAGGACAGAGAAUGAGGAGGAUUCAAGCCAGGACAUUUCAGAGGCAGUAAAACUACCUGGGGUGUUAUUAGGAAGAUCCAACAUGGAUGUUUCCCAAUACCUCAACUGGAGGAAAGACUGGGAAAGUGAAUAUGGGGCAGAGAAGCAGUGAGAAAUAUCCUUAGAAGAUGGACAAGAGUGGCUCUCUCCUCCAGAAAGAGACUUAGGUAAAUUCAUAGGUCCUCAGGGAACCUAUGUUGGAGAAAAACCCAAUAUAUGCUGUGAAUGUGGAAAAUAUUUCAGCUUAGCUAUCCACGGAUUAGCCCACAUUGGAGAAAAGAAACCCUAUAAAUGUGGCCAAUGUGGGAAAAGCUUUGGCCAAAGCUCAUAUCUGGUUUGCCACCAGAGAAUCCACACGGUGGGGAAGCCCUACAAAUGCCCCAAAUGUGGGAGAGGCUUCAGUGAUCAUUCUGACCUCAUCACACACCAGAGAAUCCACACAGGAGAAAAGCCCUAUAAACGUGGGGAGUGCCGCACAGGCUUCACGCAGAGCGCAGGCCUUAUUACGCACCAGAGGAUCCACACAGGAGAGAAACCCUGUAAGUGUAGUGAGUGUGGAAAGAGUUUCGCCAACGGCUCGCACUUUGGGACACACUGGUGAACCCACACUGGCGAAAAACCCUACCGGUGCCCCGAGCAUGGGAAAAAGUUCUGCUCUCACCAGCCAUCAGAGGAGAGAAACCCUAUGAGUGUCUGGAAUGUGGGAAACGUUUCAGUGACCGCUCAAACGUCAUUACCCACCGGCAAAUCCACACUGGAGAGAGACCCUAUAAAUGCGGGGAAUGUGGGGAGAGCUUCAGUCAGAGCUCAAGUCUUAUUAUUCACCAGAGAAUGCACACGGGAGAAAAACCCUAUGGAUGUGCUGAGUGUGGAAGCCGAUUCAACAAUAGCUCACGUAUUAGUGCACGUCGGAGAGCCCAUGCCGGGGAGAGACUCUAGGUGUAGGGGACCUAUCUUGAAAACACUGCAGAAUCUACCCCAAAAAAGGGUUUGUAUGGCCCUGGAUUCUAUACCACGACACCCACAGGAGAAGGAGAGAGAGCUCAAAUCCCAGUCCGACAGGCUGUACUUUGUUUCUCUCACUCAGUACCCACUGGGCUUAUGAAAUACCACUCAAGCCUUUCCUGUCCAUGCUGUUAAAAUGGAAGCUGAUUUCCAGAGGAUUCAGAGGCUAGUUCUGAAUCUGACUGUAUCACCAUCUCAAUGAGUCUUCACUGUAAUUCUGUGCCUUAAUUUUCACAGCAUGGUAAUGUGAGGGUGAGAUCCUUAUCCUCCUUCCAGGAUGGAGGCGGCUCUGCCCUCCCGUGGUGAUGGCAUUAAUGACGUAGAACCAGCAGUGGCUGAGCAGUUUCCUCCCAGCACUGGGCAGCUAGACAAGGAUUUAUUUAUGAACUAAAUACAUUUCUAAGGGUCUUCCCCUGUUCUCCCUCGGGGAGGACUGGAGCCCAGGAACUGUCUGUGUUUCCCUACAUCCCCUGUCUUAGAUUUACAUGGAGUUACUUGAGAGGAAAGCAUUCUAUUGGGUUAUUUGGAGGAGGGAAAAGGAGGAAAGAUCAAUGCUAAAGGCUGACUUUCUAAACCAUACCCUACUCUUCCUCCAACAUAUUAGGUUGAACCAUGGGAGAUUGCCAUUUUUGGUCUAUAAAACUAGCGAGUUCAUGAUUCACCCGAAGUCAAAUUUUUGCAUGGUUGAAUUACUCCAAACUGCCAGCAGGGCUGCUGCAGAGCUUUAAAGCUCAUACCGUAUCCUAAAAAUGUGAGACUGGGUCUAGAAGAUCGUGAACCAGGGUAAUAAAGUGGGUAAGGUCUUUUCUGUUUGUCAAUAUGUCCAGAGCAAUAACUAGGAACCAUGGCGUUGAUUAAGAAGACGCCUGGUUGGAGGAUUUACUGCUAUAUCACCUGCCUCUGACAAGCUCACUAGUUCCCGUCUGUGCUCAGGUGUCCAGGUCCUACAGGGGAGGCCGAGUGCAGGUCAACAGGUUCUGGAGAUUUGGGCAUCUCUGUGGGAGCAGAGUCCCUGGAGGGCCUCUGACAUACAGAGCAAAUGGUGCUUGGAAAUAAAUGGAACACAGUUUCUCCCUCUUAAAAUAAUUUCCUUGUGUGUUUGAUUUUAAAGUAUUUUCCCACAACUUUCCAGAAACCCAUCAAUUAUAAAACAAAGCACAAU